GUGGGCUUAGUUUAAUGAUAAAAUCUCUGUUUUGCAUACAGGAGAUCUUGGGUUUGACUCCCAGAGCCCACA
rnacentral:tRNA from 1 species